rnacentral:lncRNA from 1 species
AGAUAACCAUAAUCAUCCUUCUCAUCAGCAAUUGAUCCAUCUCACACCUUUCCUAAAAUAGCAUAAGAACUUGUUGUGAUGCUUCUUUCAAAACAUCCACUUGAAUUUCAGACAAGCCCUAUCAUCCUUGUUUGUCGAGGCUUCAAUAUAUAUAGCAACCCUUCUUUGCUAAAGAUACCAAUCAAUAUUGUGUGUACUGACCAACUCAGUUUUGAAACAACCUCCUUAAACUGAACCCUGAAGAGUAUCCGCUUGAAACCAAUAGAUUCCAUCUGAAUUUGAAAUGACUAAACCUCUCAGACAGUGUUAUGCUAAUCCUUGAAGUUCCGUCCUCACAUUUUUCAAAAGUGUUAACUUUCGUUGACUUGAGCUUCCUCAAAUUCAGCUGUUACAAACUCUUUUGUUCAAUCCUAAGGUUCUGACAUAAAUGCACGAAACUGAUUUGGUGCGGUAGUAACUCGAUAAUUAUAUCCUUAAACCUCCACAGUUCUCUGUCUUUGGU